GAUGAAGAACGCAGCGAAAUGCGAUAAGUAAUGUGAAUUGCAGAAUUCAGUGAAUCAUCGAGUCUUUGAACGCACAUUGCGCCCCCUGGUAUUCCGGGGGGCAUGCCUGUCCGAGCGUCAUUGCUGCCCUCAAGCACGGCUUGUGUGUUGGGCCCCCGUCCCCGGUUUCCCCCGGGGACGGGCCCGAAAGGCAGCGGCGGCACCGCGUCCGGUCCUCGAGCGUAUGGGGCUUUGUCACCCGCUCUGUAGGCCCGGCCGGCGCCAGCCGACACCCAACUUUAUUUCUAAGGUUGACUUCGGAUCAGGUAGGGAUACCCGCUGAACUUAAGCAUAUCAAUAAGCGGAGGA
rnacentral:misc_RNA from 1 species